GUGAAUCAUCAAAUUUUUGAACGCAAAUUGCGCUUCCUAGCAUCACGGGAAGUAUGUCUGUUUGAGGGUCAGUAUUAACAAAAAAAUCGGGUUGGUUGCAAAUUGUGACGUUUCCUGAGUUUGGGCUAUCUUAACUUUUUUGGUUAAGGGGCUUAAAAUUGACUUUUUUCGCGCAUUUUUAGACGUACAUAUAUUUUUUUUUUAUUCGUCUACUAUUAAUGCUAAAAUCUAA
rnacentral:misc_RNA from 1 species